GUGGAUUAGAUACCCUGGUAGUCCAUGCCGUAAACGUUGGGAACUAGGUGUGGGUCUCAUUCCACGAGAUCCGUGCCGCAGCUAACGCAUUAAGUUCCCCGCCUGGGGAGUACGGCCGCAAGGCUAAAACUCAAAGGAAUUGACGGGGGCCCGCACAAGCGGCGGAGCAUGCGGAUUAAUUCGAUGCAACGCGAAGAACCUUACCAAGGCUUGACAUAUACCGGAAACAUCUAGAGAUAGGUGCCCCGCAAGGUCGGUAUACAGGUGGUGCAUGGUUGUCGACAGCU
rnacentral:rRNA from 1 species